rnacentral:rRNA from 1 species
CAGGUCUUGACAUCCCGAUGCCCGCUCUAGAGAUAGAGUUUUACUUCGGUACAUCGGUGACAGGUGGUGCAUGGUUGUCGUCAGCUCGUGUCGUGAGAUGUUGGGUUAAGUCCCGCAACGAGCGCAACCCCUAUUGUUAGUUGCCAUCAUUCAGUUGGGCACUCUAGCGAGACUGCCGGUAAUAAACCGGAGGAAGGUGA